CCUGGUGAUUAUUGCGAAAGGGUAAUACCCGAUCCCAUUCCGAACUCGGAAGUCAAGCCUUUCAGCGCCAAUGGUACUUUGUCUUAAGACA
rnacentral:rRNA from 1 species